GCAAGUCGAACGGGCCCUUCGGGGUCAGUGGCAGUCGGGUGAGUAACGCGUGGGAACGUGCCCUUCAGUUCGGAAUAACCCAGGCAAACUUGGGCUAAUACCGGAUACGUGCGAGAGCAGAAAGAUUUAUCGCUGAAGGAUCGGCCCGCGUCUGAUUAGCUAGUUGGUAGGGUAAUGGCCUACCAAGGCGACGAUCAGUAGCUGGUCUGAGAGGAUGAUCAGCCACAUUGGGACUGAGACACGGCCCAAACUCCUACGGGAGGCAGCAGUGGGGAAUAUUGGACAAUGGGCGCAAGCCUGAUCCAGCCAUGCCGCGUGAGUGAUGAAGGCCUUAGGGUUGUAAAGCUCUUUCGUCCGGGACGAUAAUGACGGUACCGGAAGAAGAAGCCCCGGCUAACUUCGUGCCAGCAGCCGCGGUAAUACGAAGGGGGCUAGCGUUGUUCGGAAUCACUGGGCGUAAAGGGCGCGUAGGCGGCUUUGUAAGUCGGGGGUGAAAGCCUGUGGCUCAACCACAGAAUUGCCUUCGAUACUGCAUGGCUUGAGACCGGAAGAGGUAAGUGGAACUGCGAGUGUAGAGGUGAAAUUCGUAGAUAUUCGCAAGAACACCAGUGGCGAAGGCGGCUUACUGGUCCGGUUCUGACGCUGAGGCGCGAAAGCGUGGGGAGCAAACAGGAUUAGAUAUCCUGGUAGUCCACGCCGUAAACGAUGAAUGCCAGCCGUUGGCGAGCUUGCUCGUCAGUGGCGCAGCUAACGCUUUAAGC
rnacentral:rRNA from 1 species